rnacentral:rRNA from 1 species
UGAUAAUAAGAGUUUGUGGCACGCCCAAUCUCGUCUGUUCUUGGAAGCUAAGCAGGGUAGGGUGGUUUAGUACUUGGAUGGGAGACCACCUGGGAAUGUUGGGUGUUGUAUCUU